CGGGACGGGUGAGUAAUGUCUGGGAAACUGCCUGAUGGAGGGGGAUAACUACUGGAAACGGUAGCUAAUACCGCAUAACGUCGCAAGACCAAAGAGGGGGACCUUGGGCCUCUUGCCAUCGGAUGUGCCCAGAUGGGAUUAGCUAGUAGGUGGGGUAAGGCUCACCUAGGCGACGAUCCCUAGCUGGUCUGAGAGGAUGACCAGCCACACUGGAACUGAGACACGGUCCAG
rnacentral:rRNA from 1 species